AACGAACGCAGGCGGCAGGCUUAACACAUGCAAGUCGAGCGCCCCGCAAGGGGAGCGGCAGACGGGUGAGUAACGCGUGGGAAUCUACCCAUCUCUACGGAAUAACGCAUGGAAACGUGUGCUAAUAACGUAUAAGUCCUUCGGGAGAAAGAUUUAUCGGAGAUGGAUGAGCCCGCGUGGGAUUAGCUAGUUGGUGGGGUAAAGGCCUAACAAGGCGACGAUCCAUAGCUGGUCCGAGAGGCUGAUCAGCCACACUGGGACUGAGACACGGCCCAGAAUCCUACGGGAGGCAGCAGUGGGGAAUAUUGGACAAUGGGCGCAAGCCUGAUCCAGCCAUGCCGCGUGAGUGCUGAAGGCCCUAGGGUUGUAAAGCUCUUUCACCGGUGAAGAUAAUGACGGUAACCGGAGAAGAAGCCUCGGCUAACUUCGUGCCAGCCGCCGCAGUAAUAC
rnacentral:rRNA from 1 species